rnacentral:misc_RNA from 1 species
GUGAAUCAUCAAAUCUUUGAACGCAAAUUGCACUCUCUGGUAUUCCGGAGAGUAUGCCUGUUUGAGGGUCAGUUUAAAUAAAAAUCGGUGUGGUUGAUGCCUUUCUUGGUGACGCACCGGAUUUGGGUCGUCUUGCCUUCGGUUAAGUGAUCUCAACUUUUGCAUGUUUUUUUCGAACGUAUUUAAAUGAUUUUACGUACGUUUGCGAUAUUGAAUAAUAGGAGUGGGCAUUACCAUGAUUCGCGCCUAUAAUUUUUCAUUAA